rnacentral:rRNA from 1 species
CGUAGGGGGCAAGCGUUGUCCGGAAUUAUUGGGCGUAAAGGGCGCGUAGGCGGGUAUUUAAGUCUGGUGUGAAAGAUCAGGGCUCAACCCUGAGAGUGCAUCGGAAACUGGGUAUCUUGAGGACAGGAGAGGAAAGUGGAAUUCCACGUGUAGCGGUGAAAUGCGUAGAUAUGUGGAGGAACACCAGUGGCGAAGGCGACUUUCUGGACUGUAACUGACGCUGAGGCGCGAAAGCGUGGGGAGCAAACAGGAUUAGAUACCCUGGUAGUCCACGCCGUAAACGAUGAGUGCUAGGUGUAGAGGGUAUCGACCCCUUCUGUGCCGCAGUUAACACAAUAAGCACUCCGCCUGGGGAGUACGGCCGCAAGGUUG